UGAAUAAAUUCUGUUUGAAGUGUACUUAAUGACAGCAUCAGGUUUUUAGCCAACCUGACCGUGUUGUUCUCUCCUCUGAUUUACAGACUGCUCGGACGUUUUAUUAAACAAUGGAGCAUCCAACUUUUAAAAAGCUCCCAAAUGGGACCAUCAAGCUAAAGGCCUCUACUGAGGCCCAAGCACGCCUCAGUAGAGG